GCAGGCGGGUCCCCGGCCGCCGAGGCAGGGCCGGCCCCACCCUCCCGGGCCGCGGGCUCCCGACCCCUCCCAGCGCCUCGAAGCCCCCAUCUCCUCCCCGCGUCCCCCAGCCCCUUCCCUCCACCCGGCCCUGGCCCUGUCCCUCCGGGCGUGGAACCCGGGCUCAUCCCGCCCCCGCCCCAGAGGGAAAACGCACGUGAACAAAGCGAAUCGGAGGAGGCAGGAACGACAGUAAAAGAUUAUGAAUGGAGAGCUACAUCCCAUGGGGUGGCAGAUGAAGAUGUGCAAGAAGAAGACACUAACAACUGAAUUGCAGAUUGAGGAGAUGAGAUUAUGGUGACAGAAUCCAUCUUCGGUGUAUGUGCAUGAAGAAAUAAGCCAAAUCUACAUCUAUAAAACCGCGGGAAGGAAUGAGAUAAUAAUCAGUUGCAGGUCUGCUUAGAUUUUAAUCGUUUAGUGUAGUUCGUGGCAGGGUCUGAUACCCUAUUUCAAUAGUGGAGAGAAUUAGAAAGCAUUUUCUUUUUUCAUAUCUACUAUUAUUGGUUAUAUAAAAGAAGUAUCAAAUAGUUUCUGCUUUCAUGGAAUAUACUGUCCAGUCGCAAAGGAAAGAAGAUGGAGAGAUGAUUAAAAAAAAAAAAAAGAACAAACAGCUUCCAUUAUUCUAGCAAUGCCCACACACCCCUAUUGUUUGAGCAGAGAAAACGCUGACAGGGGACUGGCCAGGUAAGGAGGAACAGACCACGUGGCCAUUAUGCUCUUGCCUUCCCACCUGAAACUUCUGUCUCCUUAUGGCUCUCCCUGAGUAAUACAUAUAUUUAUAUAUGACUACGUAUCUCUUACUGUGGUUCCAACUUGGAUGCAAACCUCUCCCCUUGGUCUCCUUAACACAACUAUAUAAGGCUGCAUUUAUCCAAAUGAUUUAACAUGAGGGAUUCCAGGUCUUGGAGACUCAGUCCCAUCUUGCAUUCUGUCUUGAAGGUAUUUCCAGUCCCUCCCCACUACCCACACAAAAAAAGUAAAAUAUUCUAGGCAUAUUCCUGGCCAGCUUCCUUCCUGCUCCCUAUAGGUCUUCUUAUACAAGGAUUCUGCUACUUCUCACUAGUUAAGGCCAUUGUCCCAGUCUCCUUGCCAAAGAGGUCCAGGGCACAAAAAAAGUUUAAGAACUUCUGGACUUUAAAUACAUACUUGGCGGGGGGGUUCUCUAAUUCUGCAGGGGCUUAACCCCCAAAUAAAAUGAUCAGGCAAGACACUUAUCCCAUUUUGAAGCUGGGGUCCCCAGGAAUAAUUGUAGGUACUUCGGUGGUACCUGCAGGAUUGAAAGAAGGUACCAAAGCUUCACACUGAUCCCCACAAAUGGAGAGAUGGCUCCAAAACACAACUUAAUCAAGUGUUCCUUUUAUUUUAUUGGGAUAUAUUAGAUCAAAGUUAAAGGUCUAUGAAAAGAUUCAAUUGAGAAAGGGAAGCUCAAAGUACAAGAGAGGGGAAGAUUAAUUAAUAUUGAAUGUAAAUUCCUAAAACCACCUGGAGGGAUGGGAGCAGAGCUCAGGGAGGGGGAUGAGACUGUACAGGAGGAGCCCAGCUCUUCUUCCAGCAGCAGGGAAGACGGGGCAGAUGCCAGUGGGCUGCAUGUUUGGUGUCAGGAGAAUGAGGGAUUCCCAUCUGACGGCAUCUACUUUCUCUGACAAGAAGGAGGCAAGAUCAUUUAUUGAGAGUCAGAAUGAGAGAGAUAGAGAAAAAAAUAAAACUCACUUUAAAGUGCAAAUAUCAAUAUACAAUUGAUUUAAAGAAUAGAGUUUUCAGUCUAUUCUUCCAAACCUCUAAGAAAGAUAUUCUUCUUGCAUUGCAGUUGAGAGAACUGGGGCUGAUAAUUCAAUUAACUUCCUUUUCCCUAAGAUUUCCCAGUUGGAAAGAGAAAAAGCUAGCACUUUUUUGUUUGGCAUUUUGUUUUGUUUUGUUUUUGAGACAGGGUCUCACGCUUACCCAGCCGGAGAGCAAUGGCAUGAUCAAAGCUCACUGCAGCCUCGAGCUCCUGGGCUCAAGUGAUCCUCCUGCCUCUGCCUCCCAAGCAGAUGGAACUACAGACAUGUGCCCCAACCCUCGGCUAAUUUUUUGUAUGUGCCUAUUUUAGUAGAGGUGGGAUUUCACCAUGUUGUCCAGGCUGGUCUAGAACUCCUGGCCUCAAGAGAUCCACCCGCCUUGGUCUCCCAAAAGGUUAGGAUUACAGGCGUGAGCCACCACGCCUGGCUUACUAAUUUUUUAAUUUUUAUUUUUGUAGAUGGGGGUCUCACUAUAUUGCCCAGGCUGAUCUUGAACUCCUGGCCUCAAGCAAUCUUCCUGCCACAGGAUCCCAAAGUCCUUGAAUUACAGGUGUGAGCCAUCGCACCUGGCCAAAAAAGCCAGCAUUUAAACUCAGCUCCUCAGAGGGAAAAUCUAUUCUGGAUGUUGUAGAAAGUGCUUUAUUUGUUCACUUAAAAAAACUAAAGUUACUCAACUCAGGACAUUUGAAUGGAUACACGUUCUUUCACGCUUGUCUUUUUUUAAUUAAG
rnacentral:lncRNA from 10 species